GUGAGUACUAAUGUUGUUAUUGUGUUAGAUUUGAAAUCUUACAGUUUGUGUUUAUUCGCAAUACUCACU
rnacentral:tRNA from 1 species